CUGUUCAUCUUAGCUACCUAAAGAUAGAAUAGAUAUGAAGCAUGUUCUUUCAAGGCUCAAGAAUAUCAAAAAGAAUCUCGUCAACAACAUUGACCAAGAUUAAUACGGUGUAUUUAAAGGAUGCGGGACUUCGAGUAAUUCUUUGAAAUACACUAAACUACCGACCCAAGGUAGUAGAACUAUUGGGCAAAUGGAUCGAAGUAUUGAUAAGGAAUCAAUGUUGAAAGCAUGAUGGUAGCUAUCUCGAUCUUUACAUUGCAUGUAUUUCUUGUUUAAUUGUGAUGAUUUGUACUGUAACGUUGUUGUUGUGAACAUUGCUGUUUUACUGGUUUAAUCGCUACAAUAACGUCGCUGGCG